rnacentral:rRNA from 1 species
UACGGAGGGUGCAAGCGUUAUCCGGAUUUACUGGGUUUAAAGGGUGCGUAGGCGGGUCUUUAAGUCAGUGGUGAAAUCCUCCUGCUCAACGGGAGAACUGCCAUUGAUACUAUUGAUCUUGAAUUCAGUUGAGGUGGGCGGAAUGUGUCGUGUAGCGGUGAAAUGCUUAGAUAUGACACAGAACACCGAUUGCGAAGGCAGCUCGCUAAACUGACAUUGACGCUGAGGCACGAAAGCGUGGGGAUCAAACAGG